rnacentral:rRNA from 1 species
UAGUUUGAUCCUGGCUCAGGAUGAACGCUGGCGGCGUGCCUAAUACAUGCAAGUCGAGCGGUAAGGCUUGGCACAGUUUGCUUCUCACGUUUCAGUGAUGAAACAGCGGGUUCUGUUGGCUAACAGAUCGCGAGCAAGGAGCAUAGUGUGCUGAGUACACGAGCGGCGGACGGCUGAGUAACACGUAGGAACGUACCCCAAACUGAGGGAUAAGCACCAGAAAUGGUGUCUAAUACCGCAUGUGCUCUAAGGAGUAAAGCUUCGGCGGUUUGGGAACGGCCUGCGCAUGAUUAGCUUGUUGGUGAGGUAAAAGCUCACCAAGGCGACUAUCAUUAGCUGGUCUGAGAGGAUGACCAGCCAGACUGGGACUGAGAACGGCCCAGACUCCUACGGGAGGCAGCAGUAGGGAAUUUUCCACAAUGGGCGAAAGCCUGAUGGAGCAACGCCGCGUGCAAGAUGAAACCCUUCGGGGCGUAAACUGCUUUUAUCUGUGAAGAUUUUGACGGUAGCAGAUGAAUAAGGAUCGGCUAACUCCGUGCCAGCAGCCGCGGUCAUACGGAGGAUCCAAGCGUUAUCCGGAAUUACUGGGCGUAAAGAGUUGCGUAGGUGGCAGGAUAAGUUGGUAGUGAAAUUGUGUGGCUCAACCAUACACCCAUUACUAAAACUAUUCAGCUAGAGGGCGAGAGAGGUAGCUAGAAUUCCUAGUGUAGGAGUGGAAUCCGU